GACGAACGCUGGCGGCGUGCUUAACACAUGCAAGUCGAACGGUGAAGCGCCUUCCUUUUUGGUGGGUGUGGAUGAGUGGCGAACGGGUGAGUAACACGUGAGUAACCUGCCCCCUUCUUCUGGAUAACCGCAUGAAAGUGUGGCUAAUACGGGAUAUUCUGGGUCUGUCGCAUGAUGGGUCUGGGAAAGAUAUUGUUUCGGUGGGGGAUGGGCUCGCGGCCUAUCAGCUUGUUGGUGGGGUGAUGGCCUACCAAGGCGGUGACGGGUAGCCGGCCUGAGAGGUUGGCGGUGCCACAGGGGCUGGGGCACGGGCCCGACUCCUACGGGGGGCAGCAGGGGGGGAUAGUGGACAAUGGGGGGAAGGCUGAUGCAGCGACGCCGCGUGAGGGAUGGAGGCCUUCGGGUUGUGAACCUCUUUCGCCAGUGAAGCAGGCCUGCCUCGUUUGUGGGUGGGUUGACGGUAGCUGGAUAAGAAGCGCCGGCUAACUACGUG
rnacentral:rRNA from 1 species